AUAGCCGGCUGAGAGGACUACUACUAGCACUUCCAGUGGCUGAUGUCCAAGUAGGAGUUUGACGUGGAGAGCUUUUAGCAUGUUGAUAAGUUUACCAGUAGAAUAGACAGCUGGGAUACGCAAGAGAUGAGGCACCACUAGUACCCCCAGUGGCUGAUGUCCAAUGAGGAGUUUGUGCAGCUGAAGUGAAGAGCUUUUAGCAAAUUGACGAGCACGGUCACCCCCUGCCUCUGAACUGAUUGCUUUUCCAAUUCCACGGUUUGGAGGUCAGACCAAACGAUUGACAGACCUAACGACUGAAUAGCUAAGUCCCCUCAGUCAUCAAAGGAUGGACAAAAAUACAGAAGUUAUUGUUAGGUGGGAUUGUUU